GAUGAAGAACGUAGCGAAAUGCGAUAAGUAAUGUGAAUUGCAGAAUUCAGUGAAUCAUCGAAUCUUUGAACGCACCUUGCGCCCUUUGGCUAUUCCGAAGGGCAUGCCUGUUUGAGUAUCGUGAACACCUCAACUCUCAUGGUUUGCCAUGAUGAGCUUGGACUUUGGGGGUUUUGCUGGCCUUUGGUCGGCUCCUCUCAAACGGAUCAGCUUUCCAGUGUUUGGUGGCGUCACGGGUGUGAUAACUAUCUACGCCUGUGGUUUUCUGCCAGAUAACCUUCAGCGAUGGAGGUUCGCUGGGGCUCAUAAAUGUCUCUCUUCAGUGGAGACAGCUUUUUGGACGUUUGAUCUCAAAUCAGGUAGGACUACCCGCUGAACUUAAGCAUAUCAAUAAGCGGAGGA
rnacentral:misc_RNA from 1 species